rnacentral:tRNA from 1 species
GGGCGUAGCUUAGCUGGUAGAGCGCCACCUUGCCAAGGUGGAGGUCGUGAGUUCGAAUCUCAUCGCCC